rnacentral:rRNA from 1 species
GGCGGGUAGUUAAGUCAGAAGUGAAAUCCAAUAGCUCAACUAUUGAACUGCUUUUGAAACUGAUUACCUAGAAUAUGGGAGAGGUAGAUGGAAUUUCUGGUGUAGGGGUAAAAUCCGUAGAGAUCAGAAGGAAUACCGAUUGCGAAGGCGAUCUACUGGAACAUUAUUGACGCUGAGACGCGAAAGCGUGGGGAGCAAACAGGAUUAGAUACCCUGGUAGUCCACGCCCUAAACGAUGUACACUAGUUGUUGUGAGGCUCGACCUUGCAGUAAUGCAGUUAACACAUUAAGUGUACCGCCUGGGGAGUACGGUCGCAAGAUUAAAACUCAAAGGAAUAGACGGGGACCCGCACAAGCGGUGGAGCAUGUGGUUUAAUUCGACGAUACACGAAGAACCUUACCUGGACUUGACAUAGUAAGAACUUUCUAGAGAUAGAUUGGUGUCUGCUUGCAGAAACUUAUAUACAGGUGCUGCACGGCUGUCGUCAGCUCGUGUCGUGAGAUGUUGGGUUAAGUCCCGCAACGAGCGCAACCCUCGUCAUUAGUUGCUAACAGUUCGGCUGAGAACUCUAAUGAGACUGCCUACGCAAGUAGGAGGAAGGUGAGGACGACGUCAAGUCAUCAUGGCCCUUACGUCCAGGGCUACACACGUGCUACAAUGGGGUAUACAAAGAGCCGCAAUACGGUGACGUGGAGCAAAUCUCAAAAAUAUCUCCCAGUUCGGAUUGUAGUCUGCAACU